rnacentral:lncRNA from 1 species
GAAUGCUCUUACAAUAAAUGGUGUAUUCCAUGUACUUCUCACAGUUAAACCGGAGUGUCUUGUUCCAUAUCAACCAAAUAUUAUAGGAUAUCAACUAUAUCCUAACCCCUAAAUAAUAAACUCUAUCUCAAAGCUACCUGCAAAACCUAAAUACUAAACCUUAAAUCCUAAUUACUAAACCAUGAAUCCUAAUCAAUAAACCCUAAACCCAAAUAUAAACCAUAAACCCAAAUAUAAACCCUAAAACCAAAUAGAAUGGAACAAAAUACCUAGUAUAGUACAUAUUGGUGAAAUUAUGAAAUGUCUAUGAUUACAUUGGAUAAGCUAAUGUUGUCCCAACCAUACCCCCUUACCUUUUAAAUACUAAAUCCUAAUCACUAAACUCUAAACCCUAAACCCUAAAUCCAAAUAUAAACCCUAAA